CAUCCGGUACCAGACAAGCCGUCAUUUUAUUCAAGGCGAAAGACGCGAGGCAAGUUAACAGGCCGAAAGUGACAACAAAUUUAAACUUGAAGCAGUUCACGCGCACUUAAUCUGUGUACUCGCUUUGUUGGCAUGACGACGGUGCGAGCAGCUGAUCCAGUGUGAAAAAUGGGAAAUCAGCAUCGCAGGUGUGCAUGGAUGCACACACUGAGAGUGAAGCGUAGGUCUGCCAUCAGCAGUUUUGAUGUUCGUAGCAGUGCACACCUGCUUUGAUGUUGUUUGCAACUGAGGUGCUAUUUGCAUGAUGAUUGACAAUCAUCAUCUGAUCGAUGUUUUAAACAUGCUGAGCUCUGUUGGGUGCUUUGGCUGUCUGCUGAGGUUGAUUUUACACAUUCAUCAUAAGUGGAGGAAAAUGAACAAGCCUUAUAUCUUCUCAGCACAGGUGGUUCUUUGUUUCUAUAGCCUUGCUAAAUUACCUUUGUAAUUUGUCGGGAAGAAUAGAGUCAUGCACUCCGCAAAGAUCUAACCCACAGAAACACUGACCUGUGUGUUUACCCACCAUCUAUUUACAAAGGUGCCCAGGGUGAUGGUGAGCCUGAUCUCUGGAUCUAUAUCUAAUUGA